GGUCUGUUAAUUCAACGGUAGAAUGUUGCGUUUACAUCGCAAACGUAGUAGGUUCGACUCCUACACAGACCA
rnacentral:tRNA from 1 species